rnacentral:ncRNA from 1 species
UCGAAGAGGCGCGACCAAUAUUAGUAUCUUGGGUUAGUUUAUUUCCGAACAAUAAUCCCAAGUGAAAGGAGCGGUCGCCGAAGCGCCAGGAAGGGGAAUAUUUCUGGUUUGCUGGGUUGAAGUUUAAGAGGCUUCAGACUGUCGCAAGAAAAUAAAAGCUUGCGGGGCGCUAUC